ensembl:lncRNA
CUAGAAGAAAAAAAAAACAUUAAUUCUACCAAAAGUUUUUGUGUAUGUAAAGGAAUUAAUACCUUUAUUCAACAAGAAUGCAUUGAUCAAAUUUAAUUGCUACAAAAAAGGAUCAAAUAAAUGCUGUUGUUUUGAACUUUCUAUACAUCAAAGAAUUCUGAAAAAACAAAACUGUUUCAACAAAAUAUUAAACAGCACAACUGUUUCGAGCACUGAUAAUUAUAAGAAAUGUUUCUUGAGGGCCAAAUCAGCAUAUUGUUGAUUUCUAAAGGAUCAUGUGAUACUAAGGACUGUAAUGUUAAUGGCUGAUGAAAAUUUAGCUUUGCCAUUUCAGGAAUAAACUGCAAUUUAAAAUAUAUUAAAACAGAAAACAGUUGAUAUAGAAGAAAUGGAUUUUGAAUAAAGGAGGACAAAGGAGAGAAAGAGUGAAUUAAUUUACACUGUCUAACUUUGCCCACUGGUCUUUAUAUACUAUCCAUCCCAUUCCACAGUGUUCCAGCAACCAUCAGGUGUUCCAUUUGCUUCCCUCAGUGCUCCCUGGGAAAUGCGGUUUGCAGGACACCCACGCAAUCAGGAUACUCAUUUCACGCUGUUCAUGCAGUGGGAUUUAUGUCAUACAUUUCUCUCUCUCUCUCUCUCUCUCUCUCUCUCUCUCUCUUCUUGCAUUAAAGCUUGUUUCUAAUUACUAGUCAGAAAUCCAGCCCUUUUUCUGUGUCGGCCUCCCGGAACAGUCACUGGAAAUGACACCUGCGACGCAGCCGCGAUGGCUAUAAAAUGACAAAUUCAAAGAGGGGAAGGAGAAAAAGCAAGAAUUAAAGAAAAAGCAGGGGGUGAGGAGCGUGUGAUAGGAGAGCAGGGUUUUCUCAGCACUGGUAGGAGCAGAUGGUGAGCACAUUUUGCACAUCAUUUGUGAAUGAUUUCAAAAUCUAUUUAUCUAUUCCAAAGAGAUCGCUGGAAUCCCCAUCUGCCUGCCUUUUUUCUCCUCUCUUCUAUAAUUGUUUCCAUCUCACAUCGUUGCAAACGGAGAAGAGGAGGAGGCUGGCUCAACGAGAGGAGCGAGAGAGAGACAGAAGACAGAGAAAGAAUGUAAUACUGCCACUGUUGAACAUCAGCAGGGAGCUACAGGCAGAAGCCCUUCAGAGUCUUGAUCUGCGAAAGGCGAGAUGGACAUAGAUCUCGGGCAGGAGAGGUUUAAAAAAUGAGCACCGGGCAGAAAGGUGUCCUUGGGAGACCCUGUAUCGUUUUAUGAGGCGAGUAGUUUGAAACGCCAUAACAUUUUAUGAGGUGAAACACAGGUUUCACUUUAACCUGUAAAGAGUAAAUGUAUAGUAGAGGGCAAGAUUACAUCCAGAUGCAUUAAACUGACCAGCAGACCCAAAUCAAAACACAUGCACAUACGCACACACAUGCACUCCUGGGCUAGAAACAUAUCUCCUUUGACCCGGGAGGUUGUGUCCCAGUUUGGUAAUAUAUUCUCGAUAAGAUCCUCUCCUGUUUCAGUGCAAUCUAAGACUAUGACAACAGAAAAAUGGAGGGCCCAGUCUGAAAAACCCCUCCCUAAUUGAUGAACCGGUGAGGUCAUAUAAUUAACAGCCUAGUUAUCAUAAUAUCAACAUCGUCUAUCUCCAGUAGGAUUGUG